rnacentral:lncRNA from 7 species
GAUCUUGUUUGCUGCUGGCUAUGCCCUGUGCUAUUGCUGCUGCUCACUGGCAUUUUCUCACUUGCCACCUGUCACCUGCAAACUCCAUUUUACAGUGUUGGAUGUAGUGCUCCACAAGUAUUAUCUUUCUGCAGUGGACCUGCUGCAAAUAUGAGGGUGAGAAGUUUGCUGCUGCUUCCUGAAUGGAAAGUUUUCUGAUGAAGGAGAAGACUUUGCACUGUGUGGUUUGAUGUGGGGUAGCUGUGUGUUGUUGCUCCCACUCUACCAAGAAAAACCAACAGAGAGAGUGGAUUGGUUUGGAGAAAAGCAUAAUGAAUGCAGGAUGACUCCCUGUGGACGCCAAAAAUCUGCAGCUCAGCUGUUUAUCCCUAAGCUCUCAAGGCAGCCCCUGGACACUAGGUGAUGCUACAAGAGCUGAGUGUCCUGAAGACUGCUGCUAACAGGACUUCACUGCACUUCCCUCCAAAUCCUGUCAUGCUCGCUCCGUGGCCAGGUACUAUCUGUCUGAUUCUACCCUCGGCAUCCCUGUCCAGCACCAGCUCGGCAGCUGCCUGAGAUAAGCAGGUUUGGCUCACAUGUGAUGCUCCUAUGCACGCCUGAACAGUAAGCAUCCUCCUCUUCAGAGCAGAAGGGAGGAAGCAAAGGCAACAUCCGUGCCUUGCUUGUUCCUCUUUUGCCUUACUCCUUGCUAUCCCUGGAUGACCAGCAUGGACACCGUCAUCCUGCGGUACUCCUUAAAAUCACAAGUUGUACCCAAGCUUUGGGCACCGGGCGUCCCCCCGCAAUGAGCCGAUCAGAUUUAAGUGCUAAAUCCCAGAGCAACAAGGUUUUUGAAUUGUCUGCAGAAUACAAAUGCUGAAACUUGGCUGCGAGGCUUCCCAGAAUAAAAGACAGCUUCCAUGCAGCCUCGUGCAUAGUUGUGCAGUGCCUUGGCCCACCUGCUGGGCCUCCUUACAGAAGCUUCUGCGUGUUCUUUGCAAGCAAGCAGGUAUCUCCCCAGGGAAGCUCGUGACCUGUUGCUAAUGUGCUAAGCACAAGGCAAAAGAGCAGCAGACGGUAACCAGAAAUGCCCUUGGCUCCUUCCUCUUCUCGUGUGCUGCAGGCGGGAGAAGUGGGGUGUAGGGCCAGCUGUUCCCACAGUGGCUCUGCCCGCUGCUUGAGCAACAGCCCUCCCCCUUCGUUGGAUGAGAAGGACCUUGCUGGAGACCUGUUUGAAUGAUGCCCGAGGAAGUCAGCAGCAGUCUUGUACAGAGCAGAACUCCAGGGGACUAAAGGGGACUAAAUGAGGGAAAGCAGAGUACGGCUGUGACUACAGGCACCGGUUUCCGCUGUUCCUGUUGCUGCUGUGCAACCCUCUCCCUCUGUGAGCUCUUCUGCUCCCUUUUGCAGGGCUGGUUCUCCUCACAGGGGCGCAGUGCCAAGCGGAUCUGGGGACGUGCCCGACUUUAGAGCAUUAUUUCUUUUUCUGCCCCCAGCCACUGCCCGUAAGUUCACAAACUCUGGCCAAGAACACUUCCAGUUUUGUUACGGAGCCCUUGAAAGAAAUCGGGAUAAAGAGUGAAAAAUUAAAGUAUUUCCCAGAAGCCCAUGUCGGGAACUGAAGAUCAGGAAGUGGAAAGGGGAGCUGAUGAGGAGAGGCUCCAAUAAUACACAAGGAACACCGCCGUUCUUGAUGCCUAUGCGUUUUAUUGCACUGACACCGUGCAUUAAACCAUCCGUCCUUUGCAAGGAGUGACGGGGACAAAC